rnacentral:rRNA from 1 species
AGUGAACGCUGGCGGUAGGCCUAAUACAUGCAAGUCGAACGGCAGCACAGUAAGAGCUUGCUCUUACGGUUGGCGAGUGGCGGACGGGUGAGGAAUAGAUCGGAAUCUACUUUUUCGUGGGGGAUAACGUAGGGAAACUUACGCUAAUACCGCAUACGACCUACGGGUGAAAUCAGGGGAGCUUCGGACCUUGCGCGAUUGAAUGAGCCGAUGUCGGAUUAGCUAGUUGGCGGGGUAAAGGCCCACCAAGGCGACGAUCCGUAGCUGGUCUGAGAGGAUGAUCAGCCACACUGGAACUGAGACACGGUCCAGACUCCUACGGGAGGCAGCAGUGGGGAAUAUUGGACAAUGGGCGAAAGCCUGAUCCAGCCAUACCGCGUGGGUGAAGAAGGCCUUCGGGUUGUAAAGCCCUUUUGCUGGGAAAGAAAAGCAGCAGGUUAAUACCCCGCUGUUCUGACGGUACCCAAAGAAUAAGCAACGGCUAACUUCGUG